rnacentral:rRNA from 1 species
AUUGAACGCUGGCGGCAUGCCUUUCACAUGCAAGUCGAACGGUAACAGGUCUUCGGAUGCUGACGAGUGGCGAACGGGUGAGUAAUACAUCGGAACGUGCCCGAUCGUGGGGGUUAACGGAGCGAAAGCUUUGCUAAUACCGCAUACGAUCUACGGAUGAAAGCAGGGGACCGCAAGGCCUUGUGCGGACGGAGCGGCCGAUGGCAGAUUAGGUAGUUGGUGGGAUAAAAGCUUACCAAGCCGACGAUCUGUAGCUGGUCUGAGAGGACGACCAGCCACACUGGGACUGAGACACGGCCCAGACUCCUACGGGAGGCAGCAGUGGGGAAUUUUGGACAAUGGGCGCAAGCCUGAUCCAGCCAUGCCGCGUGCAGGAUGAAGGCCUUCGGGUUGUAAACUGCUUUUGUACGGAACGAAAAGACUCUUUCUAAUAAAGAGGGUCCAUGACGGUACCGUAAGAAUAAGCACCGGCUAACUACGUGCCAGCCGCCGCAGUAA